UACAGAGGUCUCAACCGUUGUUCGGAUUCAUUGGGCGUAAAGGGUGCGUAGGCGGUCGGGUAAGUCGGAUGUGAAAUCUCAGGGCUCAACCCUGAAACUGCAUUCGAUACUGCCUGGCUAGGGUACUGGAGAGGAGACCGGAAUUUACGGUGUAGCAGUGAAAUGCGUAGAUAUCGUAAGGAAGACCAGUGGCGAAGGCGAGUCUCUGGACAGUUACCGACGCUGAGGCACGAAGGCCAGGGGAGCAAACGGG
rnacentral:rRNA from 1 species